rnacentral:rRNA from 1 species
AGCAGCUUGCUGCUUCGCUGACGAGUGGCGGACGGGUGAGUAAUGUCUGGGAAACUGCCUGAUGGAGGGGGAUAACUACUGGAAACGGUAGCUAAUACCGCAUAACGUCGCAAGACCAAAGAGGGGGACCUUCGGGCCUCUUGCCAUCGGAUGUGCCCAGAUGGGAUUAGCUAGUAGGUGGGGUAACGGCUCACCUAGGCGACGAUCCCUAGCUGGUCUGAGAGGAUGACCAGCCACACUGGAACUGAGACACGGUCCAGACUCCUACGGGAGGCAGCAGUGGGGAAUAUUGCACAAUGGGGCGCAAGCCUGAUGCAGCCAUGCCGCGUGUAUGAAGAAGGCCUUCGGGUUGUAAAGUACUUUCAGCGGGGAGGAAGGGAGUAAAGUUAAUACCUUUGCUCAUUGACGUUACCCGCAGAAGAAGCACCGGCUAACUCCGUGCCAGCAGCCGCGGUAAUACGGAGGGUGCAAGCGUUAAUCGGAAUUACUGGGCGUAAAGCGCACGCAGGCGGUUUGUUAAGUCAGAUGUGAAAUCCCCGGACUCAACCUGGGAACUGCAUCUGAUACUGGCAAGCUUGAGUCUCGUAGAGGGGGGUAGAAUUCCAGGUGUAGCGGUGAAAUGCGUAGAGAUCUGGAGGAAUACCGGUGGCGAAGGC